rnacentral:rRNA from 1 species
CACGUAGGGUGCAAGCGUUGUCCGGAAUUAUUGGGCGUAAAGAGCUCGUAGGCGGCUAGUCGCGUCGGCUGUGAAAACCUGGGGCUCAACCCCGGGCCUGCAGCCGAUACGGGCUAGCUAGAAUUCGGUAGGGGAGACUGGAAUUCCUGGUGUAGCGGUGAAAUGCGCAGAUAUCAGGAGGAACACCGGUGGCGAAGGCGGGUCUCUGGGCCGAUAUUGACGCUGAGGAGCGAAAGCGUGGGGAGCGAACAGG